rnacentral:rRNA from 1 species
AGUAAAAGUCGUAACAAGGUUUCCGUAGGUGAACCUGCGGAAGGAUCAUUAGCGAAGUCUGGAAUGCGUGUUAGGUGCUGAGCUGCCCGGCGACGGGAUGUGCUCGCCCUGAUGCGUGUCCCUUCUCUAUCCACCCCACUGUGAACCAAGUGUGUGAGCCGAAGAGAGAUCGGAAGCUCGCAUGCAACCUUUAACAUACCCCUACGAAGUAUCAGAAUGUACCUUGCGUUAACUCGCACAAAUAUAACUUUCAACAACGGAUCUCUUGGCUCUCGCAUCGAUGAAGAACGCAGCGAAAUGCGAUAAGUAAUGUGAAUUGCAGAAUUCAGUGAAUCAUCGAAUCUUUGAACGCACCUUGCGCCCUUUGGCAUUCCGAAGGGCACGCCUGUUUGAGUGUCGUGAACUCCUCCACCCUCCACCUUUUUCGGAAGGCGUCGGGCUGGGAUUUGGGAGCUUGCGGGUCCCUGGCCGAUCCGCUCUCCUUGAAUACAUUAGCGAAGCCCUUGCGGCCUUGGUGUGAUAGUCAUCUACGCCUCGGCUUAGCGAACAUAGGGGACUUGCUUCCAACCGUCUCGAAAGGGACAACUACUACGAACUUGACCUCAAAUCAGGCGGGACUACCCGCUGAACUUAAGCAUAUCAAUAAGCGGAGGA